rnacentral:rRNA from 1 species
CAGCAGCCGCGGUAAUACGUAGGUGGCAAGCGUUGUCCGGAAUUAUUGGGCGUAAAGCGCGCGCAGGCGGUCCUUUAAGUCUGAUGUGAAAGCCCACGGCUCAACCGUGGAGGGUCAUUGGAAACUGGGGGACUUGAGUACAGAAGAGAAGAGUGGAAUUCCACGUGUAGCGGUGAAAUGCGUAGAGAUGUGGAGGAACACCAGUGGCGAAGGCGACUCUUUGGUCUGUAACUGACGCUGAGGCGCGAAAGCGUGGGGAGCAAACAGGAUUAGAUACCCUGGUAGUCCACGCUGUAAACGAUGAGUGCUAAGUGUUAGAGGGUUUCCGCCCUUUAGUGCUGCAGCUAACGCAUUAAGCACUCCGCCUGGGGAGUACGGCCGCAAGGCUGAAACUCAAAGGAAUUGACGG